rnacentral:rRNA from 2 species
GCAGUCGAACGAGUUCUGAUUAUUGAAAGGUGCUUGCAUCUUGAUUUAAUUUUGAACGAGUGGCGGACGGGUGAGUAACACGUGGGUAACCUGCCCUUAAGUGGGGGAUAACAUUUGGAAACAGAUGCUAAUACCGCAUAAAUCCAAGAACCGCAUGGUUCUUGGCUGAAAGAUGGCGUAAGCUAUCGCUUUUGGAUGGACCCGCGGCGUAUUAGCUAGUUGGUGAGGUAACGGCUCACCAAGGCAAUGAUACGUAGCCGAACUGAGAGGUUGAUCGGCCACAUUGGGACUGAGACACGGCCCAAACUCCUACGGGAGGCAGCAGUAGGGAAUCUUCCACAAUGGACGCAAGUCUGAUGGAGCAACGCCGCGUGAGUGAAGAAGGCUUUCGGGUCGUAAAACUCUGUUGUUGGAGAAGAAUGGUCGGCAGAGUAACUGUUGUCGGCGUGACGGUAUCCAACCAGAAAGCCACGGCUAACUACGUGCCAGCAGCCGCGGUAAUACGUAGGUGGCAAGCGUUAUCCGGAUUUAUUGGGCGUAAAGCGAGCGCAGGCGGUUUUUUAAGUCUGAUGUGAAAGCCCUCGGCUUAACCGAGGAAGUGCAUCGGAAACUGGGAAACUUGAGUGCAGAAGAGGACAGUGGAA